UUUGUUUUCCAUGGCACAUAAUCAGACAUAUAUCAAUAUCUUACAUUGUCAGUAGAUAUCGCUCUCCUACCCUCUCCUCCAUGUUUGGUGAAUUGACCAACCAGACCCUCAAGACUGCUUUGGGCAAGUCCCUUGAUUGGUACCAGAAAGGGUGGGAGAACAACCUGAAGGUAAUUCUCUUCAAACACAACAAUAGCAUCCAGGCCUCCACCGAGUACGGACAGGAGCCGCAGCUGUUUACUGAGGGAAACAAUGCAAUUGUACAAUUAUUGCAUAUACUGUAGUCUUUCUCAUUUGUGAUUGACUUGUUGUUUGUCUAUUGCUACCUUUGAAUAACGUACUUUCAGAUCACUGAAACCCCACCUGAUGUGGUGCAAGUUGUCGAACCAGAUCAGAACGCCUUCAAGGACCACCUUCAGGCACAGACUGAGAUGAAUGUGGAGGUUUUUGACAAAGUGAGACUGACCAUCGACAAGGCACAGGAGAAACAGAAGGAGAGCUAACGGAGCAGAAUCAAGAAAGGGAACAAGGGCUUCGACAUCCUGGCAAAUUACCUGGUUUGGAAGAAGGACGAAAGGAAGGCGAGACCUGGGAAACCUGGCUGCUCUUUCGCUCCUAGCUGAGAUCACCAUCUGUUAAAUCUUCCUAGGUUUACCUCGGUGGAAGCCAACAAUCUUCUCCAGUUGGAGCAGUUGGAUGGUCGACUACUCAAAGCACUGACGCCCUACACUUCAGUGAAGCCCAAUAGACAAAGACCAUCAACUGUCCGAGCCCUCCAGGACAUAUCUCAUCCACCAGAACCAAUGAGUUCGGAUCAGUCUGAUUCUCUGUGCUCUGAGUCAGUGGGGGACCAGCUUGAGGACCUAGGGGUUCUGCCCAACACCCAGACGUGGAUCCACC